GCCCUGCCCUUUUUUUUUUUUUUUUUUUUUUUUUAUGCAUUGUCUGGUUGUGGGAAUGGGAAGGAGAAAAAGAUAAUUUUCUAAACUGAAUGUCAUUUGUUAGAGAAGUAAAAAUUCUUGGCUGAUUUAAGUAAAAGUUGGUAUCUUCUACUACAGUUCUGCCCCUUAAUUGCCUCUUGAAGAUGUUUUCAGUAAUACUAGAAUGGCUUCAUGAACCUUUUUGUUUCUUGACUGAUUUUGGUUUAUCUCUGGAAAAAAAAAUUCCAAUUAUAAACAUUUUCCUUGAAUUGCUUAGUACUUAGUAUGAUGCACAGUAAUAAUCAUGUAUACCAAUAGAUGGCAGUUAUUUCGGUCCUUUAUUUGAUUAAAAUAGUAAACUCUGUCUCUCUUUUUAAAAGAUUUUAUUUAUUUUUUCAUGAGAGAGAGAGGCAGAGAGACAGGCAGAGGGAGAAGCAGGCUCCAUGUAGAGAGCCUGAUGCGGGAUUCGAUCCCAGGACCCCCGGGAUCACGCCCAAGCCAAAGGCAGAUGCUCAACCACUGAGCCAGCUGGGCGUCCCUACAGUAAACUCAGCAAACUCUCUACUUAAGUUCAUGCACAUAUUUUUGUCAGUUUACAUGGUUUCACUGGCCUUGACCUUAUCCUUCCUGUAAUAUGAUUAAUAGAUAAUUUGCUGUGAAUGAAAGAUAGGUUCCCCAGAAUGCUGAUACUUUUCUCAUAAUCAAUGGAUUUUACCUCUGAAAGUGACUUAGAAAAUAGUCCAGUCUAGAUAACCACCCUAUCUUUUUUUUAAUAAUUAGUAGAAAAGGAAACUAUUGGCCCAGAUGGGGAAGUGAAAUGUUAGAGGUCAUUUAGUUUGUUAGUGAUGUAAAUGAGGUUAGAAAAAUAAAUUCAGUUUUCCUCUCAUUUCUUAUUUAAAAUCAUUUAGUCAAUAUAUAAUACAUCAUUAAUUUCGGAUGUUGGUUUUUCUCUUACACCAACCUUCCCUAGGUAGUUUCUGAAGUAUACAUUUUCUUUGGCACUGUUUUUUUUGUGCCAGAUGUUUAUUUUUUACUUUUUACUUUUCACUCCUCCCCAGAUGUAUUGAAAUGUCAUUGCCAUAUGCAUUGUCUAAGUUUAUGGUGUACAGUGUGUUGAUUUGAUACACAUGUAUUGCAGUAUGAUCACCUCCACUGUAUUUGGUGAUACCUUCAUCAUAUCUAAGCACAUGAUUACUUUUUUCUUGGCAAUUUUUGAGUAUAUAACACUGUAUUAACAAUCCAUCACAAUGCUAAUCCAUCACAUUAUAUCCUCAAAAGUGUACUUAGUUUCCCCCUCAGACCCAUACUUCUAACUGGAAGCUAGAAUAACAAUAUUUUCCAAAUAUUUUUAACAGUUGUUACAGAAAGGGACCCCUGGGUGGCUCAGUGGUUGAGCAUCUGCCUUCUGCUCAGGGCAUGAUCCUGGGGUCCCGGGAUCGAGUCCCACAUGGGCUCCCUGCGUGGAGCCUGCUUCUCCCUCUGCCUGUGUCUCUGCCUUUCUCUCUCUCCAUCUCUUGUGAAUAAAUAUAUAAAAUCUUUAAAAAAACAAUAGUUGUUACGGAAGAAGUUCUGGGGUCAUGUAAAUGACGAAACCUUGGAGUAAUAAGCCCAUCCCCCCAGUUCCCAGCCCCCACCUUUGGCAGAUUCCCAUCUGUCACAGAUGAUCAUUUUUAAAUUUAGAAAUAAAUGGAAUUCAGUUCGGUUUACAAAAAAAAAAAAAAA
rnacentral:lncRNA from 1 species